CCGGAACGUAAAAAAUAAGCCGAUUUCUAAUCAAUACACGUCAAGCGUUUUCUCGUGAUUCAUUACGUACGCAUUUCUAUUAGAUUGCCCGUAUUUUUUCGUGUUUCUAAGUCGAUGGGGGUGAGGGAAAGGGAAACCCCUUUUCCGUCCAAUCUCCUGCGCACGCCGCUGUACCUGACUCGGGCCAAUAUCGUUGAGUCAUGUUUUAGCGUGAGCUGUACGGAGCUGUGGUCUACGCCU